UACGGAGGGAGCUAGCGUUGUUCGGAAUUACUGGGCGUAAAGCGCGCGUAGGCGGCUUUGUAAGUUAGAGGUGAAAGCCCGGAGCUCAACUCCGGAACUGCCUUUAAAACUGCAUCGCUUGAAUCCAGGAGAGGUGAGUGGAAUUCCGAGUGUAGAGGUGAAAUUCGUAGAUAUUCGGAAGAACACCAGUGGCGAAGGACGGCUCACUGGACUGGUAUUGACGCUGAGGUGGCGAAAGCGUGGGGAGCAAACAGG
rnacentral:rRNA from 1 species